rnacentral:misc_RNA from 1 species
GCGCGGUCAGUCGACAGUGAGGGACUUUCCUACAGUAUGUUUCCUUCCUCAACUUAGUUCUCCUUAUUGUUCAGGGUCAGCGAGCUUUUGUGAUGGAAACAAGGCGUUGCAAUCGCAGGAGACGGGAUCCAAGUGCAGUGCUGUGUGAACAUAGGUGGGAAGUUCUGUUUCCGAAGCACACAUACUGGUCUAAGGUCAAACUGUGCCAAACAGGCUCCCUCCGCUACUAGACGAAAUACCUCCAUGACCGUUCCGCCAAGGCUGUAUCGAGUACAAAUAUAGUGACAGAGCGAACCGGAAACCGGUAUUUCUCCGCAUCAUCCCCAACAGGUUAUCUGGAUCGACUCGCCAAUUCUUCAGAGCAUUCUCACUGCAAGUUAUUCCGUGUCAAUACUGACUAUUUUUGCUGCGGCUGUCAACCGUUACUUAGCCCUGUCUAUCAUGCCACCUGCCCGCUACGACUCACUAGUGACUGGAUAUCGCUUGCUCGGAGUGUGUUUCUUGUUUUGGUGUUUUGGUCUGAUAUACGGUUUUUUGCUACAUUACGCUUAUGAACGUAAAGCUUUUUUCACGGUGAAAACAUUUGGAUACUCUGUAGGAGUAUUCAUUGCAUGGGUUUUCACUGCAUUAACUUACUUUUUGGCUUUUCGUAAAAUCAAACAGUACAGCCUGUCCCAUGCCGGAGUCGGCGCCGACAAGGAGCGAGACUACGUCCGAGUAAAACAGACUCGUCGUUUGUUGAUUGUUUUCGUUCUCAUUCUUGUUACGUCAUUCUUUUCAAGGUUGCCGUUUGCCGUUUUUUCGCUGAUUGCCUACUGCAAUCGCUCCUUUUUAUCCAAUCAGAUCUUUUCGGCGUCUUUUGAGAUUUGUGUCCUGUUGUAUGCGCUGUCUACUGUGAUAAAUCCAUUGAUCUACUGGUGGCGAUUGGACGGUUUUAGGGCAGGUUUCUAUGAAAUGUUCUGUCGCUGUUGCAUUAAGGCAAAACCGAGAGAAACUGAAGUUAAACAGAUUGUAGGCCUAUAUGAUAAUACAGCUGACGAAACAGGCUUGUGAAUAACAUAGGCCCAAUGGGAGGUAUAAGACGAAUUGCAUGGGCCCAUUAUGACGUAACACUGUCAAUUUUUUUUUAUAUACAGUGUACUUGUUUAUUGUGCGGUGGUUUCAUGAUUGCAUAUUUGACAAGAAGGAAGCGAAUUUUCAUUGCUGAAGUUUAAAAAUAACAUUUGUAAAUUCACCACCGACCAUAUGGAUGAAUUUUGCGAUUUGGAUUUUGAAAAGUGUUCAGCGGCUUUUCAUUGCGGAAUUCUUAGAGCUGGCAUUGUUGCAAGUACAUGGAAUUAUUCAUAAAAGAAAAUUAACACAAAUACAGAUAAAUUUGCUUGUUUUGGCAAAUAAUUGCACCAAUUUGUCUCCGAUUUUUCAUAAAAAUUUUAAACUCUGAUUUAUUACAUUAACUUUUUACUCAGGAAUGAAACCCAAACAACACACAUGUAACUUUUUCUCCAGUCUUUAUUAAAUGUAAAAAUCACGUCACACAAAGCGUUCACAUCUCCGUACUUAAAGCAACAUCAACAUUUCAACAUCAAUCAAUUCAAUGUAACAUUGUCUCAGAAAUGGCAUCAACUCAAACUAUAAUUUUCGGGAAGCUGCACGGGACCAACGUUUUCCAACAAACAGUUCCUGUGAUUACACAUGGCUAGUGAUUACCAACACGUCUUUCUCAUCAACCUGGUACUUUUUAGCGGAUACCUGUCAUUAUAGUAGGCUCCUGCCUACAGAAUAAAAAUUCACAUCGUCCAAAUGGUAAUUUCAAACGUUUCCAUACAUAAACAAUUUUAACAGUUAACAAUUUGUGAGAUAGCCCUUACACUUUUUUCAAGUUUGUCACCAUUCUUAAGUCAACAGAGAGCCACAAAGCUACAGGAAAGCUACGUGUGGGUUCAUGUACAUGGCAUCGAUACAUGUACAUCGAUUUAAAUAGAAUAUAAAAGUCUGAAGUCGUUUUGCAUGUCAAAGCUGUAGUACUUUAUCAGCAGAGGACAAAUUUGAAUUGACAUGGGUCACUAGAGCUGCUGUCCAGGGUACAUAUGUACACAACCACUUACGAUAUACUCAAUUAUGAAAUGAAAAACUUGAUAGGGGCUAUUGCAUUUUGUUUAACACAGAUAAUGUCUUGGUGAAAAAUACUAAGUUCGGUUAACUUAACAAGUAUCUG